UACGAAGGGGCUAGCGUUGCUCGGAAUCACUGGGCGUAAAGCGCACGUAGGCGGACUCUUAAGUCAGGGGUGAAAUCCUGGAGCUCAACUCCAGAACUGCCUUUGAUACUGGGAGUCUUGAGUUCGGGAGAGGUGAGUGGAACUGCGAGUGUAGAGGUGAAAUUCGUAGAUAUUCGCAAGAACACCAGUGGCGAAGGCGGCUCACUGGCCCGAUACUGACGCUGAGGUGCGAAAGCGUGGGGAGCAACAGG
rnacentral:rRNA from 1 species